rnacentral:rRNA from 1 species
GACGAACGCUGGCGGCGUGCCUAAUACAUGCAAGUAGAACGCUGAAGGAGGAGCUUGCUCUUCUGGAUGAGUUGCGAACGGGUGAGUAACGCGUAGGUAACCUGCCUGGUAGCGGGGGAUAACUAUUGGAAACGAUAGCUAAUACCGCAUAACAGUAGAUGUUGCAUGACAUUUGCUUAAAAGGUGCAAUUGCACCACUACCAGAUGGACCUGCGUUGUAUUAGCUAGUUGGUGGGGUAACGGCUCACCAAGGCGACGAUACAUAGCCGACCUGAGAGGGGGAUCGGCCACACUGGGACUGAGACACGGCCCAGACUCCUACGGGAGGCAGCAGUAGGGAAUCUUCGGCAAUGGACGGAAGUCUGACCGAGCAACGCCGCGUGAGUGAAGAAGGUUUUCGGAUCGUAAAGCUCUGUUGUAAGAGAAGAACGAGUGUGAGAGUGGAAAGUUCACACUGUGACGGUAUCUGACCAGAAAGGGACGGCUAACUACGUG